rnacentral:rRNA from 1 species
UACUAGAGUAGCACUCGCAUAUCAAUAAGCGGAGGAAAAGAAACUAACAAGGAUUCCCCUAGUAACGGCGAGUGAAGCGGGAAGAGCUCAAAUUUGAAAUCUUAAAGGGUUUCCCUUUACGAAUUGUAGUUUAAAGAAGUGUUUUCUGUUGAGGUUUUGGUAAAAGUUCUUUGGAAUAGGACAUCAUAGAGGGUGAGAAUCCCGUAUUUGACCUUUACUUUCAACUUUGUGAUACACUUUCAAAGAGUCGGAUUGUUUGGGAAUGCAGUCCAAAAUGGGUGGUAAAUUUCAUCCUAAAGCUAAAUAUUGGCGAGAGACCGAUAGCGAACAAGUACCGUGAGGGAAAGAUGAAAGGAACUUUGAAAAGAGAGUUAAACAGUACGUGAAAUUGUCAAAAGGGAAGCGUUUGACACCAGUGUUGUUUUUCUGAAAAUCAAUUAAAGAACUGUUUAUGCUAAGUUGUUUAGACUUUAUCAGCUAUCUGUUUAGUUUUGAGCUUUUCUUUAAUGCACUUUUCAGGUUAACAAGUCAACAUCAAUUUCUUUUGCUGUAAAAAAGCUUGAGGAAGGUGGCUUGAGAUUCGUCUUAAGUGUUUAUAGCCUCUUGCCUAUGCAGUCGGAGAGAUUGAGGUCUGCAGCGUAGAUCCUUCGGGGCUAAAUGCAUUUGUGCUAAGUUAUAGCAUUUUAUAGACAACUUGUUGACUAUGAUUUGUCUUGUAGCUUACUCGCUUAUGUUAUUUUACCUACGCUUAGGAUGUUGAUCUCUCACAGUCGAGC